rnacentral:rRNA from 1 species
GACGAACGCUGGCGGCGUGCCUAAUACAUGCAAGUAGAACGCACAGUUUAUACCGUAGCUUGCUACACCAUAGACUGUGAGUUGCGAACGGGUGAGUAACGCGUAGGUAACCUGCCUGGUAGCGGGGGAUAACUAUUGGAAACGAUAGCUAAUACCGCAUAAUAUUAAUUAUUGCAUGAUAAUUAAUUGAAAGGUGCAAUUGCACCACUACCAGAUGGACCUGCGUUGUAUUAGCUAGUAGGUGAGGUAACGGCUCACCUAGGCGACGAUACAUAGCCGACCUGAGAGGGUGAUCGGCCACACUGGGACUGAGACACGGCCCAGACUCCUACGGGAGGCAGCAGUAGGGAAUCUUCGGCAAUAGACGAAAGUCUGACCGAGCAACGCCGCGUGAGUGAAGAAGGGUUUCGGAUCGUAAAGCUCGGUUGUAAGAGAAGAACGGGUGUGAGAGUGGAAAGUUCACACUGUGACGGUAGCUUACCAGAAAGGGACGGCUAACUACGUG